UGCAGGAAUGAGCUGAGAAUAGGGUUUGUUAGUUGAUUGGGAGUGCUUUGGAGUUGCUGAUAAGGGAAGAAAUAGGAGUUUUGGAGAGUGUCUCACAACCUGGAGCCUAGCUGUGGCUUGGUUGGUGCUUUAGAGAGCUGGUUGGUGGGGAGAGAAUUCGGCAACCAUAGAAGGAGGCUGGGGCUGUGGAAUUUCCAUUCGGAACCAAAGGAAAGUAUUAUUAAAGUUGUGAAGGUAUACUACUUAGUAAUUUCCUUAGUUGAAUGGUUUAACGUAAAUUGAAGUAGUUCGUGGUACUUGAGCUCGCAGUAGGUAUACUCACUCUCUUGAGCUAAGUUGAUGACUUGUAAAGCUGAGUGUAAGUACUUCCAGCUGCAGCAAAGUGAAAGUCCCUGUGGAGAAUUUAAACAGAUAGUUGGAGUGCUUCCAGUUGACAUUUAGAAACUUUUGGAGGUUAAAUUUGGUGCUUUAACCUGAAUCAAAACAGGGAUUCCAGCUAGAGCAGUAUACAAGGGAAAUUCAAGUUGAGUCUUAAGUUGGGGGACUUGGAGACAUCGGAUUACUCUCGUGGAGUUCGACAAGAGUUGUCGACUAGUAGAGCCAUACACGACGGGAGAGGCUAGGGAUCGCGGCAAGGGAGUCGCGUCUAGCUAGACAUAGUGUAGAGUCCUGCUAGGUGGUCACCUCGCUACUUGAUAUGGACUGACGAGGGUGAUGUACGCCAGUGUAUAGAGAGACUACCAUUGUAUAUAGUUCUUUUGGGGGCGAUCUUUUGAUGUAUAUGUUAUCUUAGAAUGUUGUAUUUAUAGUCUUGGGUUUCUAGCUCUUGUUGAGUGUUUUGGGAGUUAUAUCUACUUUCCUUUUGUUAGUAGUACUAUUACUAUAUACUUUGCUCUGAUAUCAUGUUAGAACCUCUUAUGAUC